GUCUUUCCUCGUCGCUGUUUGCGGCUUCUCUGGUCGAGUUGUGCGGAGCUUCUCGGCCGUCCCCACUGGCCACCAUGUCCGCCCAGGCGCAGAUGCGGGCCCUGUUGGACCAGCUCAUGGGCACGGCUCGGGACGGUUCAGUGUAUCUUUGCCUGCCUACAUCAAUCUGCAAGGGAGUUGCAGAAAAGCCUCAUGUUCAUCGAGCCGAGAUGAAACCAGACAGAGGGUCAAGUUUACAGAUGACCGUGUCUGCAAGAGUCACCUUCUGGACUGCUGCCCCCAUGACAUCCUUGCUGGGACGCGCAUGGAUUUAGGAGAAUGUACCAAAAUCCACGACUUGGCUCUUCGAGCAGAUUAUGAAAUUGCAAGUAAAGAAAGAGACCUGUUUUUUGAAUUAGAUGUAAGAUUUGUUUUUUUAUUUGAUUUAUCAGUGCUGCAAAGUAUUAGUUGCUAUUGAGAGUAAUGUGAUGUUUGUAAGUUACAAAGCAAAAUACUUUGUACAUCUUAACCAACCACCUUAAAGUUCUAAUACACAACGGGUGGUUCUCAACCUGUUGCUGUAUUGAGUUUUAUUUCCUAGUUUGCUUUUUUUGUGCCUGACUCAUAUAGUCCAUGUGGUAGCACUUGUUAUGUAGUCAAUUACAAUCUUGAACUCUU
rnacentral:lncRNA from 1 species